rnacentral:rRNA from 1 species
AUUGAACGCUGGCGGCAGGCCUAACACAUGCAAGUCGAACGAGUGGCGGACGGGUGAAUAAUGUCUGGGAAACUGCCUGAUGGAGGGGGAUAACUACUGGAACCGGUAGCUAAUACCGCAUACCCUCAGAUGUGCCCAGAGGGGAGUAGCUGGUUGCUGGGGUAACGGCUCACCAAGGCGACGAUCCCUAGCUGGUCUGAGAGGAUGACCAGCCACACUGGAACUGAGACACGGUCCAGACUCCUACGGGAGGCAGCAGUGGGGAAUAUUGCACAAUGGGCGCAAGCCUGAUGCAGCAAGGCCGCGUGUAUGAAGAAGGCCUUCGGGUUGUAAAGUACUGUCAGCGGGGAGGCGUUACCCGCAGAAGAAGCACCGGCUAACUCCGUGCCAGCAGCCGCGGUAAUUC